rnacentral:miRNA from 1 species
AGAGGCACGCGGAUCACUGUGAGUUGGAGGCCAGUCUGGUUCCAGGACAGCUACACAGAGAAAACCUGUCUUGAAAA